AGCCUACGGGGCGCAGCAGUAGGGAAUCUUCCACAAUGGACGAAAGUCUGAUGGAGCAACGCCGCGUGAGUGAAGAAGGGUUUCGGCUCGGAAAGCUCUGGUGGGAGGGAAGAAAGAUAGAGGUAGUAACUGGCCUUUAUUUGAAGGUAAUUACUUAGAAAGUCACGGCUAACUAAGUGCCAGCAGCCGCGGUAAAACGGAGGGGGGAAGCGUUGUCCGGAUUUAUUGGGCGUAAAGCGGG
rnacentral:rRNA from 1 species